rnacentral:misc_RNA from 1 species
CCAUACCCUCCACUUUCGAGGGAAGGACACUCAAGAAAGGCAAAGGAGAGGAACUCGCAGCCACGCUGUAUCAAAGGGUAGAAGCUUGCUCCUAAGUAAGUACGUACACGCACCCGCACAUACAUACACCUAAAAAGCAAAGGACAACACUUUAACACUCGUGUAUAGAGCAUAGAGGCCGCCAUCGGGCGAGGGAACGCUGCAGUUCUCUCUUCCUUUUUUGUUCAGCCUCCAGCCCCACUCCCACGGCAACUGGGCUUCAAUGGGAUUGUGUGGAGCUCACGAGCGCUUCAUCCGGCUCUCAUACCCACAGAAAGCGUACUCAACAUCUUAAUCUGUUCUCAGAAUACUCUGUGCACGGCCAGCUCAACCAAAUGCUCGCAGAACCCAAGUCGUCUGUAAUACGCGGGGAUCGUAAGCACAUCACGUCCAAAUUCACCGAUGGGAGCGAGCUCGUUGAAGAGUACGACGUGGUGACAGAUUCCCUGCUGCUGAGAAAGCGCCGUACCCGCAAUGCCCUUGGCGGCUUUUCUGAGUGGUCUAUAGAGGUUGGCACUGAGGCGCCAUCGCGCAACCUGGAUCGGGCCUUGAUUGCUGAGUCGAGCGGAAGUCCGGUGGUGGUGCGACAGGACACAAAGGAGAGCUACGUGGUGCGAAUCCGAAAUCUCCCGUACCCGAAAGACGUGUUCUCCGUCGCGGUUGAGCGCGAAGAUGGGGACAGCGUCGGCAAGAUCGUAGUGCGCACGUCAAACAGGAAGUACUUCAAGAGGCUUGCCAUCCCUGACCUAGAGCGCGCCCGCAUUCCAUUGGAGAGCGCGCACCUUUCCUACGAUGUGCAGCAUCAGACACUUAUUAUUCAGUACAAGAAGCCUCUGUCAGUGCUGACCGCAGAGGCUGCAGCGCGGAAGGAGCGGGCAUCAAUGCCCUCGAAGCGCGUCGAUGACAGCAGCCCGGACUGCAAGCAGCAGUAAGGACGCACGUCUUUGACCUUUCGCGUUAUUCUUCCUUUGCUCUACCCGCUGUUUCCUUAGGCGGGCAAAGACUCAGUAGUGAAGUGAGGGGCGGUGUGUGUGUGUGUGUGUGGCUCUUUGUGUGUGACGGUGGGAGAGCCAAAGGACAGGGGAGGGAGGACUAGGCCAAGGGCUUGCUGUCUGCAUCUCAAGCUCCUCGUUGUUUCGUGCUCAGAAGAGACUAGUCGAUGUAUGUAAAACUGUGGUGCACAGCAUCAUAUGCAUGCCGCAGUCGUACUCUUUUGCUGGUGUGUGACGCCGCAGCGCUUUCGGUCCUCGCGCGAUCGAGGCGGAGAGGGGGGUGGUGUGGUGUGGGGUGGGUGGGAAGAGGCGCCUUUCUCCCUCUUCCAUUCACUAGUGUGCCUUUUCGUGUCUGCUUCAACACCUCGGUUACACACGCUCACACACACACACACACAUCACGUAAGCACGAACACAAAACAGUAGCAAGCGCCUAUGGAGUGCUACUUGUGUGCACCUCUUCUCUUUAGGCUUGUGCACGCCUUCCGCCGCGCACGCGAGGAGCAACUGCUACCCGAGCAGCUGAAUGCCUCUGUUGUCUGCUUCCGAAA